GCGGCGGACGGGUGAGUAAUGUCUGGGAAACUGCCUGAUGGAGGGGGAUAACUACUGGAAACGGUAGCUAAUACCGCAUAACGUCGCAAGACCAAAGUGGGGGACCUUCGGGCCUCAUGCCAUCAGAUGUGCCCAGAUGGGAUUAGCUAGUAGGUGGGGUAACGGCUCACCUAGGCGACGAUCCCUAGCUGGUCUGAGAGGAUGACCAGCCACACUGGAACUGAGACACGGUCCAGACUCCUACGGGAGGCAGCAGUGGGGAAUAUUGCACAAUGGGCGCAAGCCUGAUGCAGCCAUGCCGCGUGUGUGAAGAAGGCCUUCGGGUUGUAAAGCACUUUCAGCGGGGAGGAAGGCGAUAAGGUUAAUAACCUUGUCGAUUGACGUUACCCGCAGAAGAAGCACCGGCUAACUCCGUGCCAGCAGCCGCGGUAAUACGGAGGGUGCAAGCGUUAAUCGGAAUUACUGGGCGUAAAGCGCACGCAGGCGGUCUGUCAAGUCGGAUGUGAAAUCCCCGGGCUCAACCUGGGAACUGCAUUCGAAACUGGCAGGCUAGAGUCUUGUAGAGGGGGGUAGAAUUCCAGGUGUAGCGGUGAAAUGCGUAGAGAUCUGGAGGAAUACCGGUGGCGAAGGCGGCCCCCUGGACAAAGACUGACGCUCAGGUGCGAAAGCGUGGGGAGCAAACAGGAUUAGAUACCCUGGUAGUCCACGCCGUAAACGAUGUCGAUUUGGAGGUUGUGCCCUUGAGGCGUGGCUUCCGGAGCUAACGCGUUAAAUCGACCGCCUGGGGAGUACGGCCGCAAGGUUAAAACUCAAAUGAAUUGACGGGGGCCCGCACAAGCGGUGGAGCAUGUGGUUUAAUUCGAUGCAACGCGAAGAACCUUACCUGGUCUUGACAUCCACAGAACUUUCCAGAGAUGGAUUGGUGCCUUCGGGAACUGUGAGACAGGUGCUGCAUGGCUGUCGUCAGCUCGUGUUGUGAAAUGUUGGGUUAAGUCCCGCAACGAGCGCAACCCUUAUCCUUUGUUGCCAGCGGUCCGGCCGGGAACUCAAAGGAGACUGCCAGUGAUAAACUGGAGGAAGGUGGGGAUGACGUCAAGUCAUCAUGGCCCUUACGACCAGGGCUACACACGUGCUACAAUGGCAUAUACAAAGAGAAGCGACCUCGCGAGAGCAAGCGGACCUCAUAAAGUAUGUCGUAGUCCGGAUUGGAGUCUGCAACUCGACUCCAUGAAGUCGGAAUCGCUAGUAAUCGUAGAUCAGAAUGCUACGGUGAAUACGUUCCCGGGCCUUGUACACACCGCCCGUCACACCAUGGGAGUGGGUUGCAAAAGAAGUAGGUAGCUUAACCUUCGGGAGGGCGCUUACCACUUUGUGAUUCAUGACUGGGGUGAAGUCGUAACAAGGUAACCGUAGGGGAACCUGCGGUUG
rnacentral:rRNA from 1 species